rnacentral:precursor_RNA from 11 species
GUCUUACGUUUUGGAAGCUUUAAAGUACUCUAGCAGCACAUCAUGAUUUGUAUGUCAUAGUAAAUAUGCAAGUCAUUAUUUGCUGCUUUAGAAUUUUAAAGAAGAGAAUCAGUUGAAAUU